UUCAACUUGUCUCUCACAAGCCUCUGCUUCAGUCACUCUCGAUCGUCGCCUUUUCUAAGGCGUCCGAGGGACAAAAACCGAAAGCCAAACCUCCACCACAAAUGAAGUCACGAACGCCACUCUCACUCACCCUCCACUGUUGUACACUAACCCAAUCAUAAUUCUGAAAUCCAAUCACAACCCAGAUGUUAAUCCUUCAGAGAAUGGCAAUGGCCACUUCUUCUUCCUUCCUCUCAAUCCCUCUCCUAAAGACCUCUUCUUUGCUUUCCCCAGUUAAACACUGCGCUUCACCACUGAGCUCUGAGUUCAGGGCUCUGUCCCUCUACGGCGGUAGAAAUGGAGUCUCCACCUCCUCGGCGAUGGCCACGAAAUCAAACACCGGAAGCACAAAGGCGGCCAGUUUCUCUUGCUUCUCAGAGUUAUAGAAAUGAAACACCUCAGCCAAAUCCAGUAACAAGCUCAUUCCCGGAGUCCUCAGUGUCUUCCAAUAUCUCGUCAUCAGAUACCGGCAUGGAAUACUCAAGCCCUCCUUUAAGACAAAGGCGAACGGCAAACGUUGAGGAAGUUGAAUCUUCAUGAUGUAUGAUAUAUGUUUUAGUUACUGCUCAUUUGUUUGUACCAUGUGCAUCAGAUUAAGGUCACUACUCAUUUGUGCCAUGGUUUUCAUUCUUUUUUAUUUUGUUUCUUGUUGUAGUUACUCAUUCUCGGUAAUCAACUGAUAGUAAGGGCUGGUUUGGUAUUGCUUGCUUUGAAAAAAAAACUGUUUUUGCUAUGUUGUGAGAAUAAGCAGCUGUGAAAUAAAGUAACAGAGUGUUUGUUAAACUUUUUUGUAAAAGUGCUUUUGAAAAGAAAAAAAAAGCAGUAUUAUAAUGUUUUGUAAACUUUUAUGUAAAACAGAUGUGAAAAAAAAGCCAGUUUUUCAAAUAUGGGAUUUGCAGCUUUUUGUUUUUGGCUUUUUUUCACCAAAAACUGUGAAAAACAACUGAAGUUGAAUGUUUACCAAACACAAAAAAACUCCCAGCUUUUUUUUUUAUACCAGUUUUUUUUCAUAAUCACCUCACUACCAAACCAGGGCUAAGUUCUCUCUUCUUCUUUUUUUGUUAUUUUAGUUGCUUAUAUAUCACUUCUGUUAACAUUUUCAGGUUUUCAGCAAUCUUCAAUUACGAUAGCAACUUGAUUCCUAGGAUUUGGAAUAAGAAGGGAGACAUUAGUUGUCACAUUCCAAUCUCGGCUCCGCCGUAGCAUGAUAUUAUCCGCUUUGGGUUCCGGCCACGCUCUCACGGUUUUGUUUUUGGGAACUCACACGAGAACUUCCUAGUGGGUCACCCAUCCUGGGAUUGCUCUCGUCCGAACUCGCUUAACUUUGGAAUUCCGAUAGAACCCGAAAUCAAUGAGUUCCCAAAAUACCUUAUGCAAUAUGGAGGUAGUCAUGUACAUAUAAGGCACAUUACCCUCUCUAUGUUGGUCAAUGUGGGAUGUUACAUUAGUACUAUUACGAAGGAUGCUUGAUCCGCUGUAAUUAUUUAGAAACUUAAUGGAUGGAGGUAUAACCUGUCUGUAUUUUGUUUGCAUUUAAACGAUAUCUUAGCAACUUUUUUCUUUUAUCUCUUUGAUGCAGUCUCUUAAGAUUUUGUUGGCUAUAGCUGCAAUUCGCUUGAGUGAGAAGCCAGAUAACAUUGAAAAGGUUCUCUUUUCUUUUCUAAUGGAUGGAACUAAAGCAUCUAUAGAUCCUCUUACAUCGAACACUUGGGAAGAGGUACUGUGUAUAAGGAUUUUUUUUUUCUUUAUCUCCAUAUGGAUAGACUUUCUAUUUUCAAACUAAUUUCUUAUCAAUAAUUAAUUCUGACUAUAAGGAUUUUUCCAUUAAUCUAGUUAUUCGUUCAGUCUACAAUUCGGUUGGACUUGCCAAAGAUUCUUUGCAUAAUUUUUUAAUUUAAUUGGAUCCCUCAGUAAAAAGAGGGCUUCGAACUUAAAAAGUUUUGAGAGUUUUUUAACAUUGAAGAUGAUAAAGUCCAUGGUUUUGUACUGGUUGUUUGUUUAUUCUUUUUGAACGAAUGAAAAUUGUUGGCUUUGUGAUCUAAUGUUUAUGUAUAGUAGUUAAAAACACUAGGAAAUGUGUCGGAUUCGGCUUUAAAAUUCAGAGAUUUUGGACCUUGAAGCUUUUCUUAGGGAAUAAAAUAAAUAUCGGAAUCCUUCUUUUCCUAUUUAAAUGCUAAUUGUUUUAUUGUGAUUUUUUAUGUUUUCUUCGAUUCAUGUUAUUCUUAAAUUAAGAUAGUGUUUUUUUUGUUAGGGAGUGAAGAUGAAUUUUAGAGACAAAAAAACAAAAUCAGUAACAUAAAAAUCUAAAAUUGCAAAUUAAUCCAAAAAUAACAAAUAAUUAGAUAAAAAGUUAUAGCCAUGUACAUUUCUAUAUAAUUUUUGAAAAAAAAGGAAAAAUUAUGUAAUAUGAAUUUGUCUGUCAGAACAUUAUAAUUACUUUAGUCUAAAGUAGGUGGAAGUGGCACUGUGCAAUUUUGGGGUACAUUUUAGUUUAUUUACGAAAUUGCCACUGAAUCUCUCUGCCCCCUGAUUUAAGGUUAUUUGCAAAAUUGCCACUGGGCUUCAGAAAGGGUUUUGGGUCUUUGGGCUGGAAUUUCCGUUCAGAUUGGAGUUUUCGGUUCUGCGAUCCACAUCAUCGCUGUGUAGGAUCGCCAGCUGUGUGGGAUUUGGUGAGGGGAUGGUUAUAGACUUGGCAAUUUUUGACACGACACGAAAAUAAUGGGUUUCGGGUCAACACGAUAACUUAUCGGGUCACUAUCGGGUGACCCGUUAAGAACCCGUUAAUAACGGGUUCUUAACAGGUAUACACGCGGGUAACACGUGGGUAACCCGUUUCGACCCGUUAAGAAAAAAAUUAUUUUAAUAAUUUUAAAGUUUAAUUACUAAAAGAUUUAUUAUAAAAUACAAUAGUCAUAUUAAUAUAUACAAUAUAUUCUAUAUUAAAUAUAUAGUUUUGUAUUAUUGUUCUAUAUAAAUUAUAAAAAAAUUAAAAAAAAGUUUUAGUCAUUAUUUAUUUUUAUUAUGAGAGUUCCUUAUUAUCAUUACUAAGAUAAAUUUUACAUAACAUAUUCUUGUCCAAAAUUAAAAUAUACUGGUAUAGUAUUUGUAUAUGCAAGAACUAAGAAGACAUACAUACAAGUAUGAAAAAUGUGAAAGAAUAUAUAAACACUCGUGAUUUAUCAUUAUUCCUCCAAGAAUAGAUAAUUGUUACACUUAUAUUAUCGUUUAGAUUUUUAAAAUCCUUCAAACCCUCAUGAAUAAUGUUUUUUAUUUGAGGGCAAAAUUAAUAAAAUUAAUAAUAAUUAUUGUAUAAGUGUAAAAAAUGUAAAAAUAUAUAUAUACAAUCACUCAUAUAUAAAAAAAUGUAAAUGCUUUAAAUUAAAGAUCAAAUUUAUUCAUUACAUUCUUAUAGGGUCGAGGAGUGUAUCUGUAAAAAAUCAUCAAAAUCAGAGAUAAAAUAACCAUUAAAUUGUGAUUUUUCGUUUAUAACCGCCGAAAACUUUUGUUCCAUUACGUAAUCUCUGAAUGUUUGUUUUUUACGAUUUUUUACAUAUGCGAUCUCGGAAUGUGUACAAAUAAGUUUGACGGUUGGAUCGUUGAAAAAAGUUUCAUAAAAUGCAUAUUGCGUCAAAACGGUAGAUUAAGCAAACACUUAGAGUUAAUAUUAUACUUCUAUUAAGUAUACACUAGUGUAAAUAUUUUAAAUUAAAGAUCAAAUUUAUUCAUUACAUUCUUAUAGGGUCGAGGAGUGUAUCUGUAAAAAAUCAUCAAAAUCAAAGAUAAAAUAACCGUUAAAUUGUGAUUUUUCGUUUAUAACCGCCAAAAACUUUUGUUCCAUUACGUAAUCUCUGAAUGUUUGUUUUUUACCAUUUUUUACGUAUGCGAUUUCGGAAUGUGUACAAAUAAGUUUGACGGUUGGAUCGUUGAAAAAAGUUUCAUAGAAUGCAUAUUGCGUCAAAACGGUAGAUUAAGCAAACACUUAGAGUUAAUAUUAUAUUUUUAUUAAGUAUAAAAUAAGUUUUUGUGGUAUCCACUAGUGUAAAUACUUUAAAUUAAAGAUCAAAUUUAUUCAUUACAUUCUUAUAGGGUCGAGGAAUGUAUCUAUAAAAAAUCAUCAAAAUCGGAGCUAAAAUAACCGUUAAAUUGUGAUUUUUCGUUUAUAACCGUCGAAAACCUUUGUUCCGUUACGUAAUCUCUGAAUGUUUGUUUUUUAUGAUUUUUUACGUAUGCGAUCUUGAAAUGUGUACAAAUAAGUUUGACGGUUGGAUCGUUGAAAAAGUUUUGUAGAAUGCAUACUGCGUCAAAAUAGUACAUUAAACAAACACUUAGAGUUAAUAUUAUACUUCUAUUAAGUAUAAAAUCAGUUUUUGUGGUAUCCACUAGUGUAAAUACUUUAAAUUAAAGAUCAAAUUUAUUCAUUACAUUCUUAUAGGGUCGAGGAGUGUUUUUGUAAAAAAUCAUCAAAAUCGGAGCUCAAAUUACCGUUAAAUUGUGAUUUUUCGUUUAUAACCGUUGAAAACUUUUGUUCCGUUACGUAAUCUCUGAAUGUUUGUGUUUUACGAUCUUUUACGUAUGCGAUCUCGAAAUGUCUACAAAUAAGUUUGACGGUUGGAUCGUUGAAAAAAGUUUCGUAGAAUGCAUAUUGCGUCAAAACGGUAGAUUAAACAAACACUUAGAGUUAAUAUUAUACUUCUAUUAAGUAUAAAAUAAGAUUUUGUGGUAUCCACUAGUGUAAAUACUUUAAAUUAAAGAUCAAAUUUAUUCAUUACAUUCUUAUAGGGUCGAGGAGUGUAUUUGUAAAAAAUCAUCAAGAUCGGAGCUAAAAUAACCGUUAAAUUGUGAUUUUUCGUUUAUAACCGUCGAAAACUUUUGUUCCGUUACGUAAUCUCUGAAUGUUUGUUUUUUAAAGAUUUUUUACGUAUGCGAUCUUGGAACGUGUACAAAUAAUUUUGACGGUUGGAUCGUUGAAAAAAGCUUCGUAGAAUGCAUAUUGCAUCAAAACGGUAGAUUAAACAAACACUUAGAGUUAAUAUUAUAUUUCUAUUAAGUAUAAAAUAAGUUUUUGUGGUAUCCACUAGUGUAAAUACUUUAAAUUAAAGAUCAAAUUUAUUCAUUACAUUCUUAUAGGGUCGAGGAGUGUUUUUGUAAAAAAUCAUCAAAAUCGGAGCUCAAAUUACCGUUAAAUUGUGAUUUUUCGUUUAUAACCGUUGAAAACUUUUGUUCCGUUACGUAAUCUCUGAAUGUUUGUGUUUUACGAUUUUUUACGUAUGCGAUCUCGAAAUGUGUACAAAUAAGUUUGACGGUUGGAUCGUUAAAAAAAGUUUCGUAGAAUGCAUAUUGCGUCAAAACGGUAGAUUAAACAAACACUUAGAGUUAAUAUUAUACUUCUAUUAAGUAUAAAAUAAGAUUUUGUGGUAUCCACUAGUGUAAAUACUUUAAAUUAAAGAUCAAAUUUAUUCAUUACAUUCUUAUAGGGUCGAGGAGUGUAUUUGUAAAAAAUCAUCAAGAUCGGAGCUAAAAUAACCGUUAAAUUGUGAUUUUUCGUUUAUAACCGUCGAAAACUUUUGUUCCGUUUUGUAAUCUCUGAAUGUUUGUUUUUUAAAGAUUUUUUACGUAUGCAAUCUUGGAAUGUGUACAAAUAAGUUUGACGGUUGGAUCGUUGAAAAAAGUUUUUGGACCGCCAGCAAUAGAUAAUUUUGUAGUAGUGAAACCUUAAAUUUAUUUAACCGUCAAUUGUUAUUUACACUUUAUUCUUCUGACUGAAUUUUAUUUUUUGAAAACAUGAUCAUCUGGUGGAUGUAAGAAAAUGAUAUCACGUUUCGAUAUUUACGAUUAACUGAAAUAUGAGUCAAUGUCAUAUAAUUUGUAGAAACUUUAUAAACAUCAAGCAAUAUUUUCACUAACCGUAUAACUCUAAAUAUAAUAUCAACUAUCCAAACCGUUCAUCUACCUACACCCUCUAAUAGAUCAUGUUUUCAAAAAAGAAAAUCUAAAAAAACGAAAUUUGAUGAGAACAAUGAAGCAUAAAUGUAAACAACAAUCAACGGUUAAAUUUUGAUCUAUGAUUUAUAUGAUUAUAGUGGCGAAUUUCGAAGUUAAGCUCUUCAUGAAAGUUAUAAAGCUUGUCAUUACGAGUGUUUAUAUAUUUUUUUCUAUAUUUUUUUACACUUCUACAUUAAUUAAAAAACUAUUAAAGACUUUAGGUAAGCGAAAAUAUACUUAAAACAAAAUUGUGUUUUUAUGUUUUGGAUGUGAUAAUAUGGAAUGUAUAUACUUAUUUAGUAUUAUGUUUUUCAUUUGAUUAUUUAUUGGUUUAAAAUAUAUUUUCCUUAACGGGUAACGGGUCGGGUCAUAUUACCUGUUAAUAUUAUCGGGUCGAUUUCGGGUCGGGUCAUUUUACCCGUUUAUUUUAACGGGUGUUACACAACACGUUAAGAUAUCGGGUAUGACACGAAAACGACACGAACACGGAAAACACGACACGAAUGCCAAGUCUAGAUGGUUACGUGUCCGUCAUCGUCGAAAGGUUUGCUUCGACUGCAACGUCUCCACUUUUCGUUCCGUUUCAACUUGCCUCUCACAAGCCUCUGCUUCAGUCGCUCUCGAUCGUCGCCUUUUCUAAGGCGUCCCAGGGACAAAAACCGAAAGCCAAACCUCCACCACAAAUGAAGUCACGAACGCCACUUUCACUCACCCUCCACCGUUGCACACAAACCCAAUCAUAAUUCUGAAAUCCAAACACAACCCAGAUGUUAAUCUUUCAGAGAAUGGCAAUGGCCACUUCUUCUUCCUUCCUCUCAAUCCCUCUCCCAAAGACCUCUUCUUUGCUUUCCCCAGUUAAACACUGCGCUUCGCCACUGAGCUCCGAGUUCAGGGCUCUGUCCCUACGGCGGUAGAAAUGGAGUCUCCACCUCCUUAGCGAUGGCCACGGAGGCUCAGAUCUCGACCCAAGACGACAAAAUGAAAGAUGAAGAAAAUAAGAACAUAUGGAAAAAUGGGUGUACAGCAGUAGAUAAGCUGCGAAAAUUUUCAUCCUGUUUUUGGGAAUGUGAGAAGAUACAUGGGUUUCUAUAUCUGCUCGAAGGCAGCAAUGUAAGUGGUGCUAACACCCUCGGGGUUGACCCUGCACCUUCUCCAGUAAACGACACUCAAUCACUGCUCGCUGGCAUUAUAGGCGAAAAAAGGUGAUAAAUAAUGGGAAAUGAUUUCCGAACGCCUUUUAUCCUUUUGUGCACCCUUGUACUUGUCCUUGGGUCUUUUCUGCCUCUAUGGUUUUGGCUAUGAUAAUGUAUAUCUAAAAUAAGAUACGAUUUUAUAGGUAUAUGAAUCAAACUAACAUGUCAAUUUUGUGUUAGUAUGUUGGUGUAAAUCUCCUCUUUUAAUCAAAAGGAAAAAAAUGGAUGUUUCUUUUUCUAUAGUUGGUGCUAUUCACACUCCCAUUUUAACUUCUCACACUUUUUUUUUGGUAAUUUUUAUCUUUUGAUCUUUUUUAAUUUAUUCGAUCAGACGACUGAAAUUUGAGAAGAGUGG
rnacentral:lncRNA from 1 species